rnacentral:pre_miRNA from 12 species
GCCCUUUAAAGCAAGCUUUUUUGUAGACAUUUCAGAAGCGAUAAUGAUUACAUUAUCGCUUCUGAAAUGUCUACAAAAAAGCUUGCUUUAAAGGGCAU